AUUGAACGCUGGCGGCAUGCUUUACACAUGCAAGUCGAACGGUAACAGGGAGCUUGCUCCGCUGACGAGUGGCGAACGGGUGAGUAAUGCAUCGGAACGUACCCAGUCGUGGGGGAUAACGUAAGCGAAAGUUACGCUAAUACCGCAUACGUCCUGAGGGAGAAAGCGGGGGACCGUAAGGCCUCGCGCGAUUGGAGCGGCCGAUGUCGGAUUAGCUAGUUGGUAGGGUAAAGGCCUACCAAGGCGACGAUCCGUAGCGGGUCUGAGAGGAUGAUCCGCCACACUGGGACUGAGACACGGCCCAGACUCCUACGGGAGGCAGCAGUGGGGAAUUUUGGACAAUGGGCGAAAGCCUGAUCCAGCCAUGCCGCGUGAGUGAAGAAGGCCUUCGGGUUGUAAAGCUCUUUCAGCCGGAAAGAAAUCGCGCAGGAUAAUACUCUGCGUGGAUGACGGUACCGGAAGAAGAAGCACCGGCUAACUACGUG
rnacentral:rRNA from 1 species